rnacentral:rRNA from 1 species
CCUACGGGUGGCAGCAGUGAGGAAUAUUGGUCAAUGGACGAGAGUCUGAACCAGCCAAGUAGCGUGAAGGAUGACUGCCCUCUGGGUUGUAAACUUCUUUUAUAUGGGAAUAAAAUGUUCCACGUGUGGGAUUUUGUAUGUACCAUAUGAAUAAGGAUCGGCUAACUCCGUGCCAGCAGCCGCGGUAAUACGGAGGAUCCGAGCGUUAUCCGGAUUUAUUGGGUUGAAAGGGAGCGUAGGUGGAUUGUUAAGUCAGUUGUGAAAGUUUGCGGCGCAACCGUAAAAUUGCAGUUGAAACUGGCAGUCUUGAGUACAGUAGAGGUGGGCGGAAUUCGUGGUGUAGCGGUGAAAUGCUUAGAUAUCACGAAGAACUCCGAUUGUGAAGGCAGUUCACUGGACUGCAACUGACACUGAGGCUCGAAAGUGUGGGUAUCAAACAGGAUUAGAUACCCUGGUAGUC